CCUACGGGAGGCAGCAGUGGGGAAUUUUGGACAAUGGGGGCAACCCUGAUCCAGCCAUUCCGCGUGAGUGAAGAAGGCCUUCGGGUUGUAAAGCUCUUUCAGCAGGAACGAAACGGUAGGCUUUAAUACGGUCUGCUAAUGACGGUACCUGCAGAAGAAGCACCGGCUAACUACGUGCCAGCAGCCGCGGUAA
rnacentral:rRNA from 1 species